rnacentral:lncRNA from 1 species
UUCAAAAGGUCUUCACCAUUCACUUUAAUGAAUCAAAUUGAUUUGUGGCCACCAUUUUUAAUUACAUCACCCAUAUUUUCCUACACACUCAAAAUAAAAUUAAAAACUUAGAAAGAAACAAAUAUAUAGUAUACACUAGUUAUAUCUUGCUAAGAACUAAUGAGAUUUUGUUUCACUACUAUAGCAUAACAAUAUCAAACACAAAAGGUGUUUUGUUUGUAUAAAUAUUAAAUAAUUAAAAAAAUUUAAGAUAUAAAAAUCUAACUAGCUAUUUCUGAUUUCUUCAACACAACAAAAGAAACUUCAGAACUAGUCAUAUUUUGAAAUUACCAAAAGACUGCACUUGUGCUUUAUAAUAGGAGUGUGUGGUCUAAUAGAACAUUAUUUAAAUAUACAGCUUCUAAUAACAUAGAUAUAGUGUCCAAAAGAACAUUAGAAUAUAUGCAUCUUCAACCACACCUCAAGCACAUUCAUAUUGAUCAUUUUCUAUGAGCAGCAACAGCUUAGUAGCUGGCUUUGCAUACUAAAAGCGCUAGCACAUGAAGAGGUUUUUGAGUAUCUUAAAAAUUACGCAGUAAAGACCAACUGAAACAAAUCAACUAAAAGAAAUUGAAAUUAAAAUCCAUCUUGGCGAAACCAAUACAAAUGUCACAACUCAUGAACGGUCCUGUAGAGUGCCUACAAAUCAUAAAACACUUUUCCUUGUUUUUCUCCAUCUAAUAAAACCAUAAGCAUGUGUCUUUCAAAAAUCGAACACUCCUAAGGUUAAGUAAUGAAAAACAUGCAGUAUAAUUUGUAAAAUGCAAGCUAAGUUAAUAAUCAAUACUUCGGAAGUUCUUGAAUGGAGAAUUUCCUCUCUUUUUUUCUCAUGUACAAUAUAAGAUGCAUAAUUAAAAAUAUCUGUUUAGCAUGUGCAACCCCACUUCCAAUCGAUAGAUUGUGAGUUCGAGUCUCUCCAAGAGCAAGGUAGGAAGUUCUUGGAGGAAAGAAUGCCGUGGGUCUAUUUGGAAACAGCCUCUCUACUCAAGGGUAGGGGUAAGGUCUACGUACUCACAACCCUCCUCAAACCCCACUAAGUGGAAUUAUACUGGAUUGUUGUUGUUUUUUAGCAUGUGCAAACAAUUCAUAAGUGGAGAUGUAUUCCUAAGCCAAGUCAAAUAGAUUAUUAAUUUUCAGAAUUUCGCAGAAGGCAUCAUAAUCAAGUCUGCUCUGUUCCUGGAUAUUAUGGGGAGGUAUAUGAAAGAAUAAGACCUAAAUAUAGAUCCUUAAGUUGCAAUACUAAAUCAUACUAAAAUAGUAAAACAAUCUUUGCAGAGUGGCAUGGUGCGGCAACUCUCACAUUAUUCAAGAAUACAAAUCGACAUAUAUUUCAAUUAUAUCUGUAUCAUAGUCUUCCAAGGGAGUCUUUCAUGUCAUUUAAGCCGACAGAAAUAGCUCUCUUUUGUAAUUUUUGCAUUCUAUUAUAACUGCUAUGAAUUUGUAUGCCUUCUACUGUCAGUAAAUUUGCAAAAAUAUAAACAGAUUGCAAUGGAAACUACACUAGAACAGGAAAAAGUGAAAUCUGAAAUAUCAAACGAUGAAAGGCCUUCCACAAGUACUUGGAGCAUAACUCUGUUUUUCGAUUCAGUACAUGUCAUGGUCGCUUUCCACAACUUACAAUGAAAAAUCUCUUGUAAAAGUUGUUCAUAAACCAUAACUCUAUCUUUCUAUCUAGGUAAACAAUUCGCAUAAUGUACUCUAAUAAAAUUCACAGUGCAAAAAUAGUUUAAAGGUUGAAAUUAUUAAUUAUAUGCCUAUACCUCUCAGUAGAUUUCUUCAACUGUAGUUGAGAACAACUUUCCUAUGAGAGCCCCAGUUAUUGUAGCAAUUGUUAACCCACAUCCAUUUGCAAGUUCAAUUUAGAACAGACAUCUAAAAUCAAAAGAUGUUUUAAACAGUGGAAGCGUCUAAGUAGGUGAAAUAUGCCGAGUAACUGAUGUUGUGUAUAGUUUGGAUUGUGUCAUGCAAUAUUUUUGUCAUGGAGCUUCUAAAAGUUGUCUGCAAUUGGAGCAUUAAAGCAUAUAAAACCACAUAUAGGUGAAAUUAACAAGUUUCAAUACAAAGCACUUAACAGCUUUGCAAAUUAUUUUUUGUUCAUCUAUGAUGUAAAAUGAACCUCCUCACUACUUAGAGAUAGGAAAAGAAGCAACAUGCACCAAGGAAGAGAAAUUAAAUAUCUCAAUUCGGACACAAGAUUGAAUUUUUUAUGUUUUAAGUAAACAAACAGACACAGAAGGGCAAAAGAGAAGCGAAUUUGGAUAGCAACCGGAAACUAUAUCAUAGAGGUAUUAGAAUAUAUUGUACAGUCCUAUUGUUGGUAAGAUUUGAUUUCCUUUAUUAUUGUACAGUCCUAUAAUUGGUAGGAUUUGGUUUAUUGUACAGUCCUAUAGUUGGUUAUUUCUGUCAUCGAGCUUGUAAAAGUUGUCUGCAAUUGGAGCAUUAAAGCAUAUAAAAUCACAUAUAGGUGAAAUUAACAAGUUUCAAUACAAAGCGCUUAACAGCUUUGCAAAUUAUUUUUUGUUCAUCUAUGAUGUAAAAAUGAACCUUCUCACUACUUAGAGAUAGGAAAAGAAGCAACAUGCACCAAGGAAGAGAAAUUAAAUAUCUCAAUCCCAACACAAGAUUGAAUUUUUUCAUAUGUAUGUUAAUCUUUUAAGUUUUAAGUAAACAAACACACAGAGAAGGGAAAAGAGAAGCGAAAUGGAUAGCAACCGGAAACUAUAUCAUAGAGGUACAUCUCUUAGAGGAAUUAAAUCAAACAACUGUGUGCCUACCCCAGAUUCCCACAUUUCAAAUACAACUUUUAUCAAAAUAUCCAAUAUGUGAGAAUUUAGUCUACCCAAUUCUAAUUUUUUUAAUAUACAUAUAUAGAGAGCUUUACCUCCUUUGAACAGCAAUAAAAAUUGAGAUUAACUUUAUUACAGAUUUGGUUUGGGGUAUUAGCUAAUCCCACGAUAACACACUAAAAAGAUGAGAUUAGUUAUCUUAUGUAGAAGGUGAGAUAACUAAUCACAUGGGAUAUUCCACCACCAUUGUUCCCAACUAUCCCUUAAGGAACUCUAUUCUUUUAGAUGUUGAGGAAAUUAAAACCCCAUGAUUAUCUGCAAAAGAAUAUUUCCCCUUUCAAGUUUCUUUAGUGCAUACAUCAAAUAAUCUCCCAGCUCAAGAGUUUCCUCUCCUUGUUUUCAAUGCUUUUAGUUCAACCCCGUUAAUUGGCAAGCAAAAGGGACCAAAAAAAUAAAGACAGAAAGAAAGCGCGCUAAAAAAAAUGCAACAAUCAACAUGCUCUGAAAUCUAGAGACAAGAAAACACUUGAUUCAGUAUUCACGCAUCAAUAAAAAUUCUAUCUUAAAGAACCCACAAACAACUAAUCACAAGAAAACCAAUAAAAUACACUUAUCCAAAAUCCAAAUUCUUCUAUUUAACAGAAGAAAAAAAACAUAACACAAAGUAAGCAGACAAAUAAAUUAUUAAACAGAAGCAAAAAAAACAAAACACAAAGUAAGCAGACAAAUAAAGUCCAAAACAGUACAUAUCAAUAAAUCUACAGUUACUCAGAUGUCAAAUUAGUGUGAACGAAAACCCCAAUUAAUGAAACAUACCCAAAAUUAAACAAAACAAAAUCACUUCUUUUUAGCCCAAGAAUCUGAAAUUAUAAAAAGUUUAAAAUUUUGAGUAUAAAACAAAGAUUGUACCGAGAUACCCAUAUAUUGUACACAAUAAAAGAUUAUUUUUUUCAUCUUCAUUAGUAAGAAACUAAAAAAGUUGAAUCUUAAAGUAUAAGAACAAAACUAAAAAUUAUAAAAAAAUAGAAAAGUUUUGAGCAAAGAAAUACUUACCAAUAGAGAAAGGGAUGGAGAUUUGCAAUAUAUGAGUGAAAGUAAUCUGAAGACACAUGCAGCACAGGAUUGAAAAGAAUGAAUUAGGUUACGGAGGGAAGUUCUUGGAGUAAAGCUCUGCCUAUUUAUUUGGAAACAGCCUGUCUAUCAAGGUAGGGUUAAGCUCUGCGUACACUAAUUUCCCCAGACCCCGCUAACUGAGAUUAUACUAGGUUAUUGUGAUUGUUGAAUUAGUUUACGGAGGCAAUUAAAG